GACGUAGGGUGCAAGCGUUGUCCGGAUUUAUUGGGCGUAAAGAGCUCGUAGGCGGCUUGUUGCGUCGACUGUGAAAACCCGCGGCUUAACCGCGGGCUUGCAGUUGAUACGGGCAGGCUAGAGUACGGAAGAGGCGAGUGGAAUUCCUGGUGUAGCGGUGAAAUGCGCAGAUAUCAGGAGGAACACCAAUUGCGAAGGCAGCUCGCUGGGACGUUACUGACGCUGAGACGCGAAAGCGUGGGGAGCAAACAGG
rnacentral:rRNA from 1 species